ACAGCAGUAGCCGCGGUAAUACGGAGGGUGCAAGCGUUAAUCGGAAUUACUGGGCGUAAAGCGCACGCAGGCGGUCUGACAAGUCAGAUGUGAAAUCCCCGGGCUUAACCUGGGAACUGCAUUUGAAACUGUCAGGCUGGAGUCUUGUAGAGGGGGGUAGAAUUCCAGGUGUAGCGGUGAAAUGCGUAGAGAUCUGGAGGAAUACCGGUGGCGAAGGCGGCCCCCUGGACAAAGACUGACGCUCAGGUGCGAAAGCGUGGGGAGCAAACAGGAUUAGAUACCCGCGUAGUCCCUGUCUCUUAUAC
rnacentral:rRNA from 1 species